rnacentral:lncRNA from 1 species
UGUAGUUUACUUGAAAUCCUCGCCUGUUUGUGAAAAGAAGUACAUUAAAGAUCAAGCAUAACAUCCAAAGCUAAAGACAUUAAGGUAUGUUCUGUUUCUAUCAAUUUGAUGUGAAAUGUUGAUAUUUUAGCAAGUUAGUCAAAUUUGACUGUAGCAAGUCAGUCGCUUAAGGCCAUGUUACACUGUGCAAUUUUUCUUGCAACUUGCAAUGCAAUUCUACUCUUGAGAGAUGUAAAAUUACCAAAUACGAGUUUUCAUUACUGAUGUUUUCUCAACAUAUCGAAAAUUCUUCACAGAUUUCGGUAAUUAACAUCUCUCAAGAGUAGAAUUGCAUUGCAAGUUGCAAGAAAAAUUGCACCGUGUAACCCGUGGCGUAACAUGGCCUUUAGCAUUACAUUUUUUUGUUCUGGGACGUUAUGUUACAUUUAUUUAAUUAAAUUAAACAUUGCAAAUUUUUUUGGGACACCCGGGAUUAGGGUUGGGUAAUAUUUUGAUUUAUCGCGAUAUUUUCAUUCGCGAUUAUCAUGUCGAAGGUAGAAAAUUGAGCGACAAUAUAUCGAAAUUAUCGUCAUGCUCGAUGACGAUUAUAUUGCUUCGCAUGUGUAUAUAGGUUUUAUAAAAUCCUAAAAAAUUCUUUCAAUUCCUAGAAAAUAUAGUUUUUAAAAGAAUUAAAAUUAUUUCCUGAAUGUAAUACGAAUUUAAGGUGGCUCCCUAGGGUUUUUUAAUUUACUACACUAUAGUAUUCAGGAGACUCCUGUUUCUUUACUUUACAUGAUAUGAAGACGAAAUUUAUUGGACACAUUGACAAUGUUCUCCUGAACAUUGCAAAUUGCUACUUCUCACACACUGCUGAGAGCUGCUGCAGUGUCAGCCGCAAGCUUGACAUUUAUUAAUUUAAACUACCAUACAUUACAAUUGCUCGCUUAAUAAUUACUCUAACAGGUACAUAUAUAUCCAAUCCAAUGCUGUUCUGUACUAAUAAACAUAAAAGGGCUGGGUGGGUGGGAUACUGUCAAGCCAUGCUGAGCAACAACAAAAAUAUGCUCAUAUAACCUGCACCACCUUGUAACACCCUGAUUUCAUCAGGCCCCCAGCAGUGUGUGAGAAAACAUUUUCCGCUUCAUUCGUGCCUCAGCCAGCGGAAAAUAACACUUUUGUGUUUAAAAAUAUGUUGUCAUAGCAACAGCAUGCUUAGAAUAAAGUUCAAAAUAUGUCUUUUUCAGGUCAUUUUAAAAUUUCCUUUGGUGAAAUUUUUUAAAACUUUGCAUAAAAGAUAAUACUUGUAUAAUGAUUUUUUCCCCUCAAUUUAAAAAAAAAUAAAUCGAUACUUUUCUUAGAAAACUUCAAUUUCCCUUCGAUUUAAUUUUAAGAUUUAAUUAUUUAAGUCAUCCUUAUUGUCAUAAGUGCUGCUAGAUUGUGGAGAAAACACUGCAAAUUCUUGAGGAAACUUUAUAUCAUAUCCCAAUGUUUGCGAUCGAACCUCGCAUACGGCGAGAAUACCGUUCAAAAAACAUCCAGAAUACCGCUUGAAAAAAAAAACAAGUUUACAUUAUCUUCUUUUGAAACAUCACAUCCAAGUAUCGUUUUGGCUUUUAGAACUCUUUUAUGCUUUGAACUAAAGCAAAGUUCACACUUUUGUUUCAAAAAAGAGUUGCAUAUAAAACACAACGUUACAGUUCGUAUUUUAGUUUCCACAUCCAAAGAUAAAUUUCCCUAAUAUUGCCUCAAAUUUUAAUUUUUUCACAAACUUUUUCCUCUAAGUGGAAACACUUACAAGCAUGAUCCAAUAAAAAAGUUUAGGGUCGGGAUUUCGAAGUCCAAAAGCUAGGUAGGGUCGGGAAACCGGAAACCCACAUAUUUUUUUUUGGCCUAGGGAGCCAUCUUAAUACGAUUCGAAAGCUAAUAUUUAUGUAUCAAUCUGCUGAACGAGAAAUAUUAUAAUUGUAGAGUUUCUCCUCAGUCUGGUCCCCCUGUACAAUAAAUUAUGAGCAGUCCCUUAGUGAUGAAUUAAGUCAUUUCAACAGCAAUGACAUAUUGAAAUUUUCUUAGCCCAAUCAUCGCUUUACAAAGGAUGACUGUAUCCCGAGUAGGGUUGGGCGAUAUUAAAAAAAUCAUCUCACGAUUAUUGUCAAGGAAAUUAUCACGAUAUUCGAUAAUAUCGCGAUAAAUGCAAUAAAAACAAUGGCCACAUUUUUCAAUUUUAAUUAUAUCAAAGCAUAGUAAGCUUAUAUAUAAUCUUAUUAAAAACAAGUAAAACAACAAAUCAAAGUAAUAUGAAGGCUUUUUCUAGUCCUAAUAUUUACUGCUCAUAAACCAGAAUUGAGAAUUGUCUAUACUGUGUCUCCCCUGGCACAAAUGCUGUGUAUUUCAUUGCAAUUUAAUGAAAUUGCAAUGAAAUACACAGCAUUUGUGCAGCAUUUAUGAGCCGAUUAAUCGGUAAAUAAUCGGCAAAGCCGAUUAAUCGGCCGUUUUUUAAAUAACCGGUAAUCGGCCGAUUAUUGCUUGAUAAUCGGCCAUAAGACUUCUUCUGCAGCUGCCGAGCACAUGCUAGAAUACUGAAUACAAGCGAAUAGAUUUUCACAUUUUGUUGCAAAACCCGUGUCUUUUGUCUCAACCGAAGUGAAGCUGGGAACAUUUCCACUGAAAAACGCAGCAGACUAACUCCACAUAGCUGACAAUAUUGUUUUCACACCAUAAUCUGCCAAAACUAAACAUUGACUAUUGACAUGCAAGAUUGAAGCUGUUUUUAGUUGUAUAUAGUGUGUACUGUAAACAGUAAAACCGCAUUUACAACUUCAUUGUUGGUCAUUUUGUGAUUUUUCACUUGCUUUUUAAAAUAAUCGGCGGGUACCGAUUAAUCGGCCGAUUAGUUACGAUGAUCGGCUUAUAAAUAAUCGGCCUCAGUAAUCGGCAAUUUUCCUUAUCGGCUCAUCCCUAAUUUGUGCCAGCGGCGACACAUUCAGAAAUAUCCUCUGUUCCCCCCUUUUGAUUUGACCAAAAUAUUCCAAUUCAAUUGUUUUUAUCAUUUGAAAGUAAUUGUUUUGAUGAAAAGAACAAUUGACAAUUUUCAGAAGGUUUGCAUUAUUUUUCUACUUAUAGACUCAUAAUUGUGCGACAGAACUUCUAGUUAUAGACUAAAUAAUCUUUACCAUGAGAUUGUUGGACAACAUAGUUUGAGUUCUUUUAACCAUCCUUGAACUUUUGUUCAAGCCUAGUGACUUAUCUCAGUACAUGAAAAUCAUCCCACCUUUCAUCCUGUCCUGACAAACAAACUGGGAUCAUGUAGACAGCACAUUUAGCCAUUAACCCAUUAAGCGCCAGCGCUCUCCCCUUGAUGAGUAAAAUCGUCUGGCGUUAGACAGAGUAAAAUACUAAAGUAGGGUGCAUCAGGGUGCAAUGCGACUCAAUGCAAUGGGUUAAGUUGAUUUGCACCCUAAUUUACCUACUUAUAUUAUUUAACUCUGUCUAAUGUCAGACAAUUUUAUUAAGCAGGGGGAGUACUAGCAGUUAAUGGGUAUAAACUAGGCAUAUGGGCAUUCUCAUUAUGAAGCAUAAAAUCGUCUGGCGUUGGACAGUAAAAUACUCAAGUAGAGCAUGCAUCAGGGCACUGUAUACAACCUAAUGGUUUAAUUUUUUGUCAAGUUCUAUAUCUGAAUUAAUUGAUUUUUUGCCUUGUUUUACAGAUCAUUACUGAUGAAUUGUGACUAUACUAAAUGGAUACAAAGAGACUAUGAUGGAUAAAUAUGGCCCCGUAAUGGGAUAUUCAGUUGAUGGACAUACAAAGGUCACAGAAAUGUCUACUUUCAGGUACUGUUCUUUCUUGUUUGCCUGCGAACAGGCUGUAGAUACUUGUACCCAGGCCAUUGUUUGUUUUGUUGUUCUGGGCACAAUGAAAUCCGGCAUAAAUCCUGGCGGUCUAAAUGUUCAGUAUAUUUACACAUUCAAUCUAUUUUCUGUUCAGUAGACUUUGAUAGCUUGAAUGAAAGUUUACGAU